UACGGAGGGUGCAAGCGUUAUCCGGAUUCACUGGGUUUAAAGGGUGCGUAGGCGGAUAUGUAAGUCCGUGGUGAAAUCUCUGGGCUUAACCCGGAAACUGCCAUGGAUACUAUGUGUCUGAAUGUUGUUGAGGUGAGCGGAAUAUGUCUGUAGCGGUGAAAUGCUUAGAUAUGACAUAGAACACCAAUUGCGAAGGCAGCUCACUAAGCAAAUAUUGACGCUGAGGCACGAAAGCGUGGGGAUCAAACAG
rnacentral:rRNA from 1 species